ACGAACGCUGGCGGCAGGCUUAACACAUGCGAGUCGAACGGGCGUAGCAAUACGUCAGUGGCAGACGGGUGAGUAACACGUGGGAACCUUCCUCGUAGUACGGAACAACUCAGGGAAACUUGAGCUAAUACCGUAUACGUCCGAGAGGAGAAAGAUUUAUCGCUAUGAGACGGGCCCGCGUCCGAUUAGGUAGUUGGUGGGGUAACGGCCUACCAAGCCGACGAUCGGUAGCUGAUCUGAGAGGAUGAUCAGCCACACUGGGACUGAGACACGGCCCAGACUCCUACGGGAGGCAGCAGUGGGGAAUCUUGGACAAUGGGCGCAAGCCUGAUCCAGCCAUGCCGCGUGAGUGAAGAAGGCCUUAGGGUUGUAAAGCUCUUUUGCCAGGGACGAUAAUGACGGUACCUGGAGAAUAAGCCCCGGCAAACUUCGUGCCAGCAGCCGCGGUAA
rnacentral:rRNA from 1 species